UCUGCAGGAUUGGUGUCGUGUUGAUGAAACCAUGCAUGUCUUGCUGAAAAUGUUUCCUGCUAAAGCAAUCAUGUGGAAAAUGGGCAGUUGGAAUGAACCCUAAUCAUCCACUGGGUAUCUCGACAAUAAUUUUCCUUGGUUCA